rnacentral:misc_RNA from 1 species
GCUUAACUGUGAGACCGACAGGUCGAACAGGUGCGAAAGC